AGGACGAACGCUGGCGGCGUGCUUAACACAUGCAAGUCGAACGGUGACCCUCGGAGCUUGCUUCGGGGUGAUCAGUGGCGAACGGGUGAGUAACACGUGAGUAACCUGCCCCAGACUCUGGGAUAACCCCGGGAAACCGGAGCUAAUACCGGAUACGACACGGAGAGGCAUCUCUACCGUGUGGAAAGUUUUUCGGUCUGGGAUGGACUCGCGGCCUAUCAGCUUGUUGGUGAGGUAAUGGCUCACCAAGGCGACGACGGGUA
rnacentral:rRNA from 1 species